CAGUGAGGGUGUCUAGCAUCUUCCUGGCUGUGAGGCUGGGGUGCCCUUCCGGAGUGUCAGGAUUCCAUUUCCCAGUCCCAAGGUCAGGAGUCCAGGAACAGGAGGGUGUGGACAGCAACCGCCCUGAGCUGGCCUCUCUGCUGGGGUGCUUGAAAUGCCGGGGUCUGAGCUCUUUCCUUGGAAGUGCAGAAACUCAAAGACGAGCCUUUCCCGGCCCUGCCUUGCUGUUGAGAUGAAGGACAUGCAGCCUCUGCGAUAUUUGAUGUGCUUCCAGGAAGAAACCAAAGCCUUUAAGCACAGUGGCACCGCCAAGAGGCUUCCCUGGUUCAUUACCAUAAAUGUAAUAGGUACGUGCAGUGAUGAACAGUA